GUGCUUGCUUCAGCAGCACAUAUUCUAAAAUUGGAACCAUACAGAGAAGAUAAGUGUGGUUCUUGUGCACGAAUGAUGUGCAAAUUCGUGAAGAGUUCCAUCUUUUA
rnacentral:snRNA from 1 species